AUUGAACGCUGGCGGCAUGCCUUACACAUGCAAGUCGAACGGCAGCACGGGUGCUUGCACCUGGUGGCGAGUGGCGAACGGGUGAGUAAUACAUCGGAACAUGUCCUGUAGUGGGGGAUAGCCCGGCGAAAGCCGGAUUAAUACCGCAUACGAUCUACGGAUGAAAGCGGGGGACCUUCGGGCCUCGCGCUAUAGGGUUGGUCGAUGGCUGAUUAGCUAGUUGGUGGGGUAAAGGCCUACCAAGGCGACGAUCAGUAGCUGGUCUGAGAGGACGACCAGCCACACUGGGACUGAGACACGGCCCAGACUCCUACGGGAGGCAGCAGUGGGGAAUUUUGGACAAUGGGCGAAAGCCUGAUCCAGCAAUGCCGCGUGUGUGAAGAAGGCCUUCGGGUUGUAAAGCACUUUUGUCCGGAAAGAAAUCCUUGGCUCUAAUACAGUCGGGGGAUGACGGUACCGGAAGAAUAAGCACCGGCUAACUACGUG
rnacentral:rRNA from 1 species